GGGAGAAUAGCUCAAUUGGUAGAGCAACGGUCUCCAAAACCGUAGGCUGUGGGUUCAAGUCCCUCUUCUCCCGCCA
rnacentral:tRNA from 2 species